rnacentral:rRNA from 1 species
UAGGGAAUUUUCGUCAAUGGGCGCAAGCCUGAACGAGCAAUGCCGCGUGAACGAGGAAGGUCUUCGGAUCGUAAAGUUCUGUUGAAGGGGAAAAAGAGCGGAGAGAGGAAAUGAACUCCGAUUGAUAUUACCCUUCGAGGAAGUCACGGCUAACUACGUGCCAGCAGCCGCGGUAAUACGUAGGUGGCGAGCGUUAUCCGGAAUGAUUGGGCGUAAAGGGUGCGUAGGCGGCCUGCUAAGUCUGGAGUGAAAGGUACCGGCUCAACCGGUACAGGCUCUGGAAACUGGCGGGCUAGAGAGCAG